rnacentral:rRNA from 1 species
ACAUGCAAGUCGAACGGCAGCACGGGGGCAACCCUGGUGGCGAGUGGCGAACGGGUGAGUAAUACAUCGGAACGUGUCCUGUAGUGGGGGAUAGCCCGGCGAAAGCCGGAUUAAUACCGCAUACGAUCUACGGAAGAAAGCGGGGGAUCGCAAGACCUCGCGCUAUAGGGGCGGCCGAUGGCAGAUUAGCUAGUUGGUGGGGUAAAGGCCUACCAAGGCGACGAUCUGUAGCUGGUCUGAGAGGACGACCAGCCACACUGGGACUGAGACACGGCCCAGACUCCUACGGGAGGCAGCAGUGGGGAAUUUUGGACAAUGGGGGCAACCCUGAUCCAGCAAUGCCGCGUGUGUGAAGAAGGCCUUCGGGUUGUAAAGCACUUUUGUCCGGAAAGAAAACCUCUUGGUUAAUACCUGAGGGGGAUGACGGUACCGGAAGAAUAAGCACCGGCUAACUACGUGCCAGCAGCCGCGGUAAUACGUAGGGUGCGAGCGUUAAUCGGAAUUACUGGGCGUAAAGCGUGCGCAGGCGGUCUGUUAAGACCGAUGUGAAAUCCCCGGGCUUAACCUGGGAACUGCAUUGGUGACUGGCAGGCUUUGAGUGUGGCAGAGGGAGGUAGAAUUCCACGUGUAGCA